CUACAGGCAUGAGUGACAGGUCUGAGAGGGGUCCCCCAGGUUGUCUGAAUAUGUCUCACUUUCUCAAACCAAAGAAUGAAUGAGCAAGAGCUGAAGAAUAAGCCAUGACCACCCUGAGAAAUCAGAGUGACAGAUCCAGCCCAGCCAGGACCCCCCCUACCUCCCAGGCCUCUGCCAGCCACAUUGCACACGAUGGCCUGGUGGAUGGGGAGUCAGCAGUGAAUCCAGAUCCUGCCCUGCCACUUCCUGUGGAGGCAGAUGUGUGAUCUUGGAUAAGCCACCAAGGU
rnacentral:lncRNA from 1 species